AGUGAACGCUGGCGGUAGGCCUAACACAUGCAAGUCGAACGGCAGCACAGUAAGAGCUUGCUCUUACGGGUGGCGAGUGGCGGACGGGUGAGGAAUACAUCGGAAUCUACUUUUUCGUGGGGGAUAACGUAGGGAAACUUACGCUAAUACCGCAUACGACCUACGGGUGAAAGCAGGGGAUCUUCGGACCUUGCGCGAUUGAAUGAGCCGAUGUCGGAUUAGCUCGUUGGUGGGGUAAAGGCCCACCAAGGCGACGAUCCGUAGCUGGUCUGAGAGGAUGAUCAGCCACACUGGAACUGAGACACGGUCCAGACUCCUACGGGAGGCAGCAGUGGGGAAUAUUGGACAAUGGGCGCAAGCCUGAUCCAGCCAUACCGCGUGGGUGAAGAAGGCCUUCGGGUUGUAAAGCCCUUUUGUUGGGAAAGAAAAGCAGCAGGUUAAUACCCCGCUGUUCUGACGGUACCCAAAGAAUAAGCACCGGCUAACUUCGUG
rnacentral:rRNA from 1 species